rnacentral:rRNA from 1 species
AUUUAUAUGAGAGUUUGAUCCUGGCUCAGGAUGAACGCUGGCGGCGUGCCUAAUACAUGCAAGUCGAACGAGUUCUGAUUAUUGAAG